rnacentral:rRNA from 1 species
GAUGAACGCUGGCGGCGUGCUUAACACACGCAAGUCGAACGAUGAACCGGGUGCUUGCACUCGGGGAUUAGUGGCGAACGGGUGAGUAACACGUGAGCAACCUGCCCCUGACUCUGGGAUAAGCGCUGGAAACGGCGUCUAAUACUGGAUAUGUCCCGUCACCGCAUGGUGUGCGGGUGGAAAGAUUUUUCGGUUGGGGAUGGGCUCGCGGCCUAUCAGCUUGUUGGUGAGGUAAUGGCUCACCAAGGCGUCGACGGGUAGCCGGCCUGAGAGGGGGACCGGCCACACUGGGACUGAGACACGGCCCAGACUCCUACGGGAGGCAGCAGUGGGGAAUAUUGCACAAUGGGCGGAAGCCUGAUGCAGCAACGCCGCGUGAGGGAUGACGGCCUUCGGGUUGUAAACCUCUUUUAGCAGGGAAGAAGCGAGAGUGACGGUACCUGCAGAAAAAGCACCGGCUAACUACGUGCCAGCCGCCGCCGUAA